rnacentral:rRNA from 1 species
CUGCAGCUCGAGUGGUGACCACUAUUAUUGGGCCUAAAACGUCCGUAGCCGGUUUAAUAAAUGCCUGGGUAAAUCGUGUAGCUUAACUAUACGAAUUCCGGGUAGACUGCCAAACUUGAGACCGGGAGAAGCUAGAGGUACUCCUGGGGUAGAGGUGAAAUUCUGUAAUCCUGGGGGGACCACCAGUGGCGAAGGCGUCUAGCUAGAACGGGUCUGACGGUGAGGAACGAAGCCCUGGGGCGCAAACCGGAUUAGAUACCCGCGUAGUCC